CCUACGGGUGGCAGCAGUGAGGAAUAUUGGUCAAUGGACGAGAGUCUGAACCAGCCAAGUAGCGUGAAGGAUGACUGCCCUCUGGGUUGUAAACUUCUUUUAUAUGGGAAUAAAAUGUUCCACGUGUGGGAUUUUGUAUGUACCAUAUGAAUAAGGAUCGGCUAACUCCGUGCCAGCAGCCGCGGUAAUACGGAGGAUCCGAGCGUUAUCCGGAUUUAUUGGGUUUAAAGGGAGCGUAGGUGGAUGGUUAAGUCAGUUGUGAAAGUUUGCGGCGCAACCGUGAAAUUGCAGUUGAAACUGGCAGUCUUGAGUACAGUAGAGGUGGGCGGAAUUCGUGGUGUAGCGGUGAAAUGCUUAGAUAUCACGAAGAACUCCGAUUGCGAAGGCAGUUCACUGGACUGCAACUGACACUGAGGCUCGAAAGUGUGGGUAUCAAACAGGAUUAGAUACCCCUGUAGUC
rnacentral:rRNA from 1 species